AAACUAGGAAUAUGCAGUCUGAGGCCGCAGCUGCUGGUGGUGUUGUGAGCAUACGGGCACUUGGUUAGCUGAUUUUCUGCGAAAUAUACACUUGUUCGAUCCUUACGGCUGAGGUAUGGGGGGCGCAUGAUGGGCUUCUGCAGGCGUAGGAGUUGGGGGCUGUGUGAGUUACUCUAGUGAUGGACUGCAAAGCAACAGUUCAGCUGCUGCAAGAACCGACAGCGGAAAAAUCGUGUUUCGCCACUGUCCGAGAGGUUCAACGGUUGUUGCGAUGACAAUGGGAGGUAAAGAUUCAACAUGUCUAUAGGGAGGGCAACAGGACAACGGAUGCUUUGGCUGCACAUGCACUUCAUUGCCCACUUGGUUUCUGUAAUUGGAUACAACCGUCAGCUAAGAUUUUAUCUUUUUUACAUGGCAACUUGGAUGGUAUACGGCAUUCACGUUUGGAUGCUGUGUGAAUUGUAUUGUUUUUCUCUCUAUUAUAAAUAAUAAUAAUAUUGAAUUAUAACUUUUUUAAUAUAUAAUGAAAAAAUAAAGUGAGAAAUUUCACAAGCGUACAACAAACACAAAAAAAAAGAAGCAGCAAAACUCUACAGUAAUCGGACUAGCUGAUGAUACUACCUCAUCCUGAUGCUUUUUCUUUUCUUAUUCGUUCUUCUUUGGGAGCAUUGUUUUUCUUCAGCCUUAAUGGCUUAAACCCAGAAACCUCUCUAAUUAUUUCUUCCACUGGAACUUCAAUGCCGAGCUUCCUGUCCUAAAGCUUCUCAAUUCCUCUCCAUUCUCUCCAAAACCCACUUAAGGGUAGAUAUGCAAAUAAAUCAGCUUCCUCUAGACUUCCAGGCCUCGCAACCACCAAAACAGGCACAUUGCAAUUUGCAACAAUGUUGCACUUGCCUACUCUGAGUUGCUGAAGCUCACAUGGACUAUUCAUGAGCCUCCUGCUUUCUGUCCUGAAAAAUGGGCGCACUGAAUGCAAUUACAACACCAGAUUGCUUUAAUUUAUUGACAUUCACCAUUGCCAAAGUUCCAGACAGCACUCACAGACAAGGGAUGCAGGCCCUUCAGGAGUUCAGGUUAUGGAGCUCAAUACCGCAAUUCCGUGGUCGGAGCCAGCGGCAACAACAUUUAUCCUUAAAUCAUUAUAUCAAGAAAACUUCACAUAAUACCACAUUGAUAUAGUUGGUCCCUGAGUUUUGAGGUUUUCAAAAUCAUCCUGUACUCAAGAAUACUGCUGCAGAUUAGUACAUUGGUAUAGUUAGACUCAAAGCAUUGAGGCUUUCAAAAUCACUAUGUAACCAUCACACAAAAUUCUGCAAUGGUUAUGGUUUGAUGCAAAAAGUUUGGGAUUUAAUCA